rnacentral:lncRNA from 1 species
GCCUAAUGAUAUUUAAUUCUGGCAAGCUCCCGCCAAAAAGGUGUCACAACUUGGAUAUGGGUAGGGUCUGAGUAACUUGGCUUCCUUCCAGUAAGAGUAGCUAAUGAAAUCACUGAAAACAGCAUCUUAUAUUAAGUUAUGCUAUUUAAAAAUAAAGUAGAUUGUUGUUAAACUGGCUCAUCAUAACCAUCCAAUAAAACUGAUUACUUAAAUGGAUUAUUUUUAUUUUAGGGGGGAAAGUGUAACAUCCUUUAGAGAGUUUUCGGAUCUUUAACAUUUAUUUAGUAUAAAAUUGCUUCUGCCCAGGUCUUAGCAGAACCAUCUCUGAAUAUCUCAAGUUUCUAAUUCUCUAAAUGCCAUAUUCAGCUGAUUAUUUUAAGUCCUAUGUUUUUUUUCCCUCUGCCCGGCCCCUCACACUGACUUUGGCACCGACCCAUUUUUAUUUCCUGGUCAUAAUCCCAUCUCUGGUCCCUCCAAUUGUCUGACCAUAGCAGCAGUCCCACUCCUGGACUUUCUGCCACUACCUUCAAUAAUUCCAUUAUACAGAUGCCCGAGUCUCCCCCAGAUAUUAUGUUCAAACUGAAUCAAAAUGAAAUUACCCUCCAGGACAAGUAUCCAUUUUGCCUAAAGGACAAAUAGACUCCCACUGACCUUGAUCAUCUUGCACAGUUACAAGAGGUCUUAUUCUGAGAAGUAAUUUCCCAGAUAGAUUGAGCAAAUUUCUGUCCUAGUCACACGAUGAGAGUACACAAUUAUAGAAGCUUCUUCCACACCCAGUGAUGUAAACCGUGUGCCCCCAGGAAGUCACCUGGGUGGCUGGAUUCUGUGCAUGUUUU